AAGCAAUUUAAAUUAGAGUUUAAACAAGGAAAAAUGUACAAAAUUCUUGAUAAAUUUAUAUUUAAAAUAAUACUACGGUAAUCCUCAAGGUUCCACUUCCGUCUAUCUCUGGAAACAAAUGUGUCUGUCUAAAGGGGAAAAAAACAAGAGUGCUAGCUUACAUGUAUGAUCUCCAAAUCUUUAUUACUUUAAAAUAUCUCCUUCACGAUAUUACUCUCAAAUGUACAUACCUCCGUUACAUGGACAUCAUGUCCUUGUAAUGAUCAUAUUGAAUAGUAUUACAUGUACUUGCCAUUCUUUUAGUAUCAACACACUAAUGCGAGUUAACUCAUCUUACUCAAGUGUAGAAAUACAACAUCUACAGGCAAGCUUCUAAAAUGCAUCAAUGAACAGGUUACAAGUUUAUGAACUUCAAGAAGAUCGGUGACCCAAUGACAACUGUGUCAGUUGGGAGUUUGGAAGAGGACUCUGUCAAUGUCACAAAAUAGAUAGAGGUAGAAUUGUGCUUCGCCAUCAGGCCAGGAGUACAGGUCAACGGAUUGACACUUCAUGUACUGAAGAUAUACAUUUUUACCUUCAACAGAGGCUACCUGUAGUUAUUUGAGAAAAAUAUUAUUUGGAAGUUUGACUAUUUUUUACACAAUUCAAAUUAUUACAUUUUAAUCAACAAAACUUGCUGGAUUGUUUCCACGAUAUUAUUAUAUGAAAUCACUUACCCAUGUACAUGUCUUGACAUUUUCUCAUUAAAGUAAGGGGGUGGAUUACUAGGGCAAUGACAAGGAAUCUGAUCUGUUCUUGCAAAAUACACCCUCACUUUGUAUUUUUUUUCAUAGCAAUUAGAAUUCAUCAUUUCCUAGUUCAUAAAUUAAAUAUAAAGUUAUGUUUUAUACAAGGUUUUUGUAUUUGCUUUCUUGUGGUCUACUUUGUUUUCACAAUACAAUUACUUGCCCAUUACCGAUACCUUUUCAUAAAUUAUCUAUUUCGUUUCUCAAUGGAUGAAUUUAAUCUAAUUUUAUUCUGCAUUAUAAUCAAGGGUGGUUAUCUCGACAAUUCCAUUUAGUUUUGUAUGACCAUCCUAUUUAAUUUUCAUGUACGAAGUUUAAUUGUUCAAGCAAUUACAUAAUAUAUUUAUGUUUUAUUGGAAUUAAAUGAAUUAAUGGAAUUCAAAUCUGCAAUUUACCUUCUGAUACAGCAAAUAAACUCUUGUGAAACAAACUCGAUUGUGUCACUUUUUCUUUUCUUCGCUUGUACAUGUUUUUAAAAUGUCGUUAUAUUGCAAUAAAAAUAAUCACAUUGAAAACAAUCACAAAGGCUUUUGCUUUCUGAUAAAACAAAUACCCACCCCCUCUCCUGACAAUUGAAUAAAUAUAAAUUAAAAUACGAUUGAAAAAGUCCUUAACAACUGAAUAUAUAGAAAUAAAAAAAAAAAUUGAAAAAACGGAGAAAGAAAUGAGGGAAAAAGAAUAAGUGCUGAAAGUAUACCAACAUUCAACAAGAUGAAGUUUUGGGAAGGUUAAGCCUACAGCUAAGAAUUACUAGUAAUUGAAUUAUUCCCAUGCUUCAUCAUACACAAAGCCCAUCUAUGUGUAGGGG
rnacentral:lncRNA from 1 species